rnacentral:rRNA from 1 species
CCUACGGGAGGCAGCAGUGGGGGAUAUUGGGCAAUGGGCGCAAGCCUGACCCAGCAACGCCGCGUGAAGGAAGAAGGCUUUCGGGUUGUAAACUUCUUUUGUCAGGGAAGAGUAGAAGACGGUACCUGACGAAUGAGCCACGGCUAACUAUGUGCCAGCAGCCGCGGUAAUACGUGGGUGGCAAGCGUUGUCCGGAUUUACUGGGUGUAAAGGGCGUGUAGGCGGGUGUACAAGUCAGAUGUGAAAGCCUGCGGCUUAACCGCAGAACUGCAUUGGAAACUGUUGAUCUUGAGUACUGGAGAGGCAGAUGGAAUUCCUAGUGUAGCGGUGAAAUGCGUAGAUAUUAGGAGGAACACCAGUGGCGAAGGCGGUCUGCUGGACAGAAACUGACGGUGAGGCGCGAAAGCGUGGGGAGCAAACAGGAUUAGAUACCCGUGUAGUC